UACAGAGGGGGCAAGCGUUGUUCGGAAUUACUGGGCGUAAAGGGCGCGUAGGCGGCCCGCUAAGUCGAACGUGAAAUCCCCGAGCUCAACUCGGGAACUGCGUCCGAUACUGGUGGGCUUGAAUCCGGGAGAGGGAUGCGGAAUUCCAGGUGUAGCGGUGAAAUGCGUAGAUAUCUGGAGGAACACCGGUGGCGAAGGCGGCAUCCUGGACCGGUAUUGACGCUGAUGCGCGAAAGCCAGGGGAGCAAACGGG
rnacentral:rRNA from 1 species